rnacentral:rRNA from 1 species
AGUGAACGCUGGCGGUAGGCCUAACACAUGCAAGUCGAACGACAGCACAGGAGAGCUUGCUCUCUGGCUGGCGAGUGGCGGACGGGUGUGGCAUACAUCGGAAUCUGCCCAGUCGUUGGGGAAAACGUAGGGAAACUUACGCUAAUACCGCAUACGACCUUCGGGUGAAAGAGGGGGAUCGCAAGACCUCUCGCGAUUGGAUGAGCCGAUGUCGGAUUAGCUAGUUAGCGGGGUAAUGGCCCACCAAGGCGACGAUCCGUAGCUGGUCUGAGAGGAUGAUCAGCCACACUGGAACUGAGACACGGUCCAGACUCCUACGGGAGGCAGCAGUGGGGAAUAUUGGACAAUGGGCGAAAGCCUGAUCCAGCCAUACCGCGUGAGUGAAGAAGGCCUUCGGGUUGUAAAGCCCUUUUGUUGGGAAAGAAAUCUUGCAGGAUUAUCCCCUGGGAGGAUGACGGUACCCAAAGAGUAAGCACCGGCUAACUUCGUG